CUAUAAAUACCCUGUAGAACCGAAUGUGUGUGCAGCUGACUUGAUCACAGAUUGGGUUCUAGGGGAGUCUAUGGG
rfam:Takifugu rubripes chromosome, Chr_4